rnacentral:rRNA from 1 species
GAUGAACGCUAGCGGCAGGCCUAAUACAUGCAAGUCGAACGGGAUUAAGAGGCUUGCUUCUUAUGAGAGUGGCGCACGGGUGCGUAACACGUAUGCAAACUACCUUCAACAGGGGGAUAGCCUUCCGAAAGGGAGAUUAAUACCGCAUAACAUAAUUGAACGGCAUCGUUUGAUUAUCAAACUCACAAGGGUUGAAGAUGGGCAUGCGUCCGAUUAGUUAGUUGGUGAGGUAACGGCUCACCAAGGCAUCGAUCGGUAGGGGAUCUGAGAGGAUGACCCCCCACACUGGUACUGAGACACGGACCAGACUCCUACGGGAGGCAGCAGUAAGGAAUAUUGGUCAAUGGACGGAAGUCUGAACCGGCCAUGCCGCGUGCAGGAAGACGGUCCUCUGGAUUGUAAACUGCUUUUGUUAGGGAAGAAACCCUCGUAUGCGUACGAGGCUGACGGUACCUAAAGAAUAAGGAUCGGCUAACUCCGUGCCAGCCGCCGCAGUAAGAC